AGGGAGGGACGGGGGCUGUGC
rnacentral:miRNA from 1 species